rnacentral:rRNA from 1 species
GAUCCUGCCGGACCCUACUGCUAUCGGGUGGAGACUAAACCAUGCGAGUCAAGCGUCUCCUAGCCACGUUGGAGACGCGGCGUACGGCUCAGUAGCACGUAGUCAAUCUGCCCUUGGGACGGGAAUAACCCUGGGAAACUGGGGCUAAUCCCCGAUAGGCGCGGAGGCCUGGAAUGGUUCUGCACUGAAAGGCUCCGAGAACAUGCUCCCGAAGUCACCCAAGGAUGAGACUGCGGCCGAUCAGGUUGUUGGUGGGGUAACGGCCCACCAAGCCUAUAACCGGUACGGGCUCUGAGAGGAGGGGCCCGGAGAUGGGAACUGAGACAAGGUCCCAGGUCCUACGGGGCGCAGCAGGUGCGAAAACUCCACAAUGCGCGAAAGCGUGAUGGGGUUAACCCGAGUGCCGUCCGAUGAGGAUGGCUUUUCCCCAGUUUAAGGAGCUGGGGGAAUAAAGGGGGGGCAAGUCUGGUGUCAGCCGCCGCGGUAAUACCAGCCCCCUGAGUGGUAGGGACGAUUAUUUGGCCUAAAGCGUCCGUAGCCGGCCCGGCAAGUCUUUCGUUAAAUCCGGCGAUUCAAUCGUCGGGCCGCGGAAGAUACUACUAGGCUUGAGGACGGGAGAGGUCGACGGUAGUCCCAGGGUAGGGGUGAAAUCCUAUAAUCCUGGGAGGACCACCAGUGGCGAAGGCGGUCGACUAGAACGUGCCUGACGGUGAUGGACGAAAGCUGGGGGAGCGAACCGGAUUAGACACCCGGGUAGUCCCAGCUGUAAACGAUGCGAGCUAGGUGUUGGGGUAGCUACGAGCUACUCCAGUGCCGCAGAGAAGUCGUUAAGCUCGCCGCCUGGGAAGUACGGCCGCAAGGCUGAAACUUAAAGGAAUUGGCGGGGGAGCACCACAAGGGGUGAAGCCUGCGGUUCAAUUGGAUUCAACGCCGGA